ensembl:lncRNA
AGAGCUGGAGGUGACCAUUUCCUUUUUGUUCCUAACGUUUGUAUCUGAUACCACUCCCCAGAUUUUGAAGCAGAUUGAUCCCCAACUCAUAUGGCUCCAGUUGAAUUUUGAAGUGCAGAAUCCUGGUUUUCCAGCUGCAGAGGUAGUGGAGUGUGAGUAGGGAGUCAGUGGGAAGUGUGCAGUGAUGCGUGUUAACACCUCUGAUGUAACCUUGAUAGUGUUGAUGAAAACACUUCUUUGUGCCGCUGACAAGAUAAAUAAUGCUGUGCCUGCAUAGCCCAGCUACGUACCAAAAUGCGGACUUUUCUCAUCAUCACAGAAAGCAGAAUUUUCUCCUGAUAACCUCAUCAGAAAUGUUUCCGAAGGACGCAUACCGUGUCUGUCGUCCUCGGUGGUCAGUGUGUUGUCUACUGAAGACUCUCAGCCUGAAUCAGAUAUUCCUAUAGAGGGCCUUCUUGGCCCCCUCAUGUGCCCAGGAGGGGGCGCCCCAGAACUGUAGCCUUAGUGCUUAUGAAGGACCCCUGGGGAGAAGUCACACUCAGGAACACCGUCACAGCUCAUCACCAUUGCUUCUGCACAAAGACUCCAGAAACUGGUGGUCAGGGUCUUCGAGGCGGCCACACCAAUUUAUUCUUAGGAUGCCAUCAGGAUGGGUCUCCUUAUGAGUGCAGGGAUCUGAGGGUAAGAGUCCAGUUCUCUGUGUUUCUAGGCGAAAUGCCUAAGUGUUCUUACUGUGCCAUUUGUGUUAGAUUUCUGUGAUGUAUGACGUUGGCUUAAAAGGGAAUUUUCAUGUUUUAAGUUAGAGGAAUAUUAGAAUCUGCUUUAAAGGAAAGUUCAUUUCAAAUAUAAGGAAAAAUAGGUGAAUGUGUGAAUUUUUUGAGCCCAAGAGAUAAGAUGUGAAGAAAAUAUUUAAAAUCUUCCAUAUGUCCUAUAGAGAGCACUAGACCUCCCCACUCUAACACAGUGUAUUUGCACUACUAUAAUGUGAAGAAUGAGGAUAUAAAAGAUGUACAUGUGAUUGCUUUUUAUAUCUUUUUUAAAAAAGGGGUUUGAGUCUGCUGCACUAGACUGUACAUAACUGGUUUAUGAGACGUGUUAUACUAGCUUUAUAAGCCCCUAGUGCUGGACUUGUGUCUUGGUAUGAUCAACAACACGCGAUAAGCAAUGCAAAACACCACGCCUUAAAGAAGGAAGUGUAACGUAUUGGUUGAAGUACUAAAGAAUGUAUUUAAGUGACAAAAGGAGAUUUAAGGACAUGUGUAUUAUGACAUAGGAGCUCAAGAAGAAACUUCUUUAGAACUAGGAAAACAUGUAUUUGGGAAGAAAAUUUAGGGGCUAAAGUUGUAUAUUUUUUAUUUAAGAAGUUAAGUUAUUGUAUAAUUUGGAAGAUGUUGCUUUGAAUUUAGCACAAAACUAUUUCAAAGAUUUUUAUUUGAAAAAAAGUGACGUAUUUUUGUGCCUUAAUAUUUGUUCUGACUUAAUAAAAUGCUUUCUGAGCUUUUGGAUGAUUGGUUCUUGGUAAUAUCUGUGAGUACUGAAAUUACUAAAACCUAUAGGAAAUGUAGACUCUGAUAGAUAGUACGACGUACACUUUUCGAAGGAGGAGGGGC